rnacentral:rRNA from 1 species
CCGGGAGUGGACGCACCGCUGGUGUACCAGUGUCCGGCCAGGGGCACCGCUGGGGUAGCUAUGUGCGGAAGGGAUAAGCGCUGAAAGCAUCUAAGCGUGAAGCCCCCCUCAAGAUGAGAUUUCCCAUCGCGUCAAGCGAGUAAGAUCCCUCGAAGAUGACGAGGUCGAUAGGUCCGAGGUGGAAGCGUGGCGACACGUGGAGCUGACGGAUACUAAUCGAUCGAGGGCUUAACCAC